GGCGGGUGAGGACGGGCUGGCCCUCCCGGGGUGGCCAGCCUUGCUGAAUUAUUCCCCCGUGUCUUUUGCGUACUUCUUGUUUCCUUGGUGGGCUCAACCACAACAUAGACCAACCUGUUUCCUUUUUGCAAUGGAAAUCUUAAUAAGUAACAAUGUAAUAAUUUACAACUUUCAACAACGGAUCUCUUGGUUCUGGCAUCGAUGAUAAAGGCAUUCAAAGAAUAUAAGUAUUGUGAAUUGCAUAAUUCGCUGAAUCAUCCAAUCUUUGAACGCACAUUGCGCCCUUUGGUAUUCCAAAGGGCAUGCCUGUUCUAGCGUCAUUUGUACCCUCAAGCUUUGCUUGGUGUUGGGCGUCUUUUUGUCUCCCCUUGCGGGAGACUCGCCUUAAAGUCAUUGGCAGCCGGCCUACUGGUUUCGGAGCGCACCACAAGUCGCGCUCUCUUCCAGCCCCAAGGUCUAGCAUCCACCAAGCCUUUUUUUUCAACUUUUGACCUCGGAUCAGGUAGGGAUACCCGCUGAACUUAAGCAUAUCAAUAAGGCGGAGGAAUUCA
rnacentral:rRNA from 1 species